rnacentral:rRNA from 1 species
UACGUAGGGUGCGAGCGUUAAUCGGAAUUACUGGGCGUAAAGCGUGCGUAGGCGGUUCUCAAAGUCCGUUGUGAAAGCCCCGGGCUCAACCUGGGAAUGGCAGUGGAAACUAGGGGACUGGAAUCUGGCAGAGGGGGGUGGAAUGCCGCGUGUAGCAGUGAAAUGCGUAGAGAUGCGGCGGAACACCGAUGGCGAAGGCAGCCCCCUGGGCUGAGAUUGACGCUCAGGCACGAAAGCGUGGGGAGCAAACAGG